rnacentral:rRNA from 1 species
AGAGUUUGAUCCUGGCUCAGAACGAACGCUGGCGGCGUGCCUAACACAUGCAAGUCGUACGAGAAAAUCCGCUUCGGCGGGUGAGUAAAGUGGCGCACGGGUGAGUAACGCGUGGAUAAUCUGCCUUUAAGCGGGGAAUAACUUACCGAAAGGUGGGCUAAUACCCCAUAAAGCUAUGGAACUCCGGUUUUCAUAGCCAAAGAGAGCCUCUGCAUGCAAGCCCUCACUUAGAGAUGAGUCCGCGUACCAUUAGCUAGUUGGUGGGGUAAUGGCCUACCAAGGCGACGAUGGUUAGCUGGUCUGAUAGGAUGAUCAGCUCUCCUGGAACUGAGACACGGUCCAGACUCCUACGGGAGACAGCAGUGAGGAAUAUUGCGCAAUGGGGGCGACCCUGACGCAGCAACGCCGCGUGAGUGAGGAAGGUUUUCGGAUCGUAAAGCUCUGUCGGGUGGGAAGAAAUGUAUGGAGGUUAACAGCCUUUGUACUUGACGGUACCGCCAAAGGAAGCACCGGCUAACUCCGUGCCAGCAGCCGCGGUAAUACGGGGGGUGCUAGCGUUGUUCGGAAUCAUUGGGCGUAAAGAGCGUGUAGGCGGCUAGGCAAGUCAGAUGUGAAAUCCCUGGGCUUAACCCAGGACGUGCAUUUGAAACUGCUUGGCUUGAGUAGGGAAGAGGGAAGUGGAAUUCCUGGUGUAGAGGUGAAAUUCGUAGAUAUCAGGAGGAACACCGGUGGCGAAGGCGACUUCCUGGUCCUAUACUGACGCUGAGACGCGAGAGCGUGGGGAGCAAACAGGAUUAGAUACCCUGGUAGUCCACGCCGUAAACG